rnacentral:rRNA from 1 species
UACGUAGGGUGCGAGCGUUAAUCGGAAUUACUGGGCGUAAAGCGUGCGCAGGCGGUUCGUUAUGUCCGUUGUGAAAGCCCUGGGCUCAACCUGGGAAUGGCGAUGGAUACUGGCGAGCUAGAGUACGGUAGAGGAUGGUGGAAUUCCGGGUGUAGCGGUGGAAUGCGUAGAGAUCCGGAAGAACACCGGUGGCGAAGGCGGCCUGCUGGGCGGCGACUGACGCUGAGGCGCGACAGCGUGGGGAGCAAACAGG